rnacentral:lncRNA from 1 species
GUCCACUGUGAGAGAGGGAGAGGGAGAGGGAGAGAGGAAGAGCAAACUGAGAGAGGGAGAGAGGAAGAGCAAACUGAGAGAGGGAGAGGGCAUGUACCAGCGUCUGUAGGGUCGAGGAGGAUGGAUCCGGCGGCGGCGGCUUCGAUGGAGGGCCUCGUAGGUGGAGGAGCGCGCGCGCCGGGCGGUCCGUGUCCGCCAGCGCCGCCACGGGCGGGGAGGACUCCGGCGGGAGGAUGGAGGCCAGCACCAGGAUGCGGGACCACGCCUGGGACACGGACUCCCACCAGGACGGGGCGGCCGGGUCGGCAGCCGCAGAUGCGGAGGCGGAGGCGGAGGCUGGGGAGGAGCCCGAGGGCGGCCGGAUCCGCGGCGACCGGCCCCGUCCAUGGAGCAGGGAGACCGGAGGGGAGGAGGACUGCCUCGGGGAGGAGGAGGGCGGCCGGAUCCCCGGCGACCGGCGCUGGAUCCGGCCCCGUCCAUGGCGCAGGGAGAGGAGGUGGAGGACGAGCUCGUGUAUGAGGAGGAGGAGAGGAGGAGGGCUCGGUGGAGAAGAGAAAGAGGCGAAGGAGAGGGCUGCUAGGGGAUUGGGUCACAGACGAGAGAGAGGGAGGGGUGAGAGAGGGGGUGAAAAGAAA